rnacentral:rRNA from 1 species
AGCGAACGCUGGCGGCAGGCCUAACACAUGCAAGUCGAACGGACCCUUCGGGGUUAGUGGCGGACGGGUGAGUAACACGUGGGAACGUUCCUUUAGGUUCGGAAUAGCUCCUGGAAACGGGUGGUAAUGCCGAAUGUGCCCUUCUGGGGAAAGAUUUAUCGCCUUUAGAGCGGCCCGCGUCUGAUUAGCUAGUUGGUGAGGUAACGGCUCACCACGGCGACGAUCAGUAGCUGGUCUGAGAGGAUGACCAGCCACACUGGGACUGAGACCCGGCCCAGACUCCUACGGGAGGCAGCAGUGGGGAAUCUUGCGAAAUGGGCGAAAGCCUGACGCAGCCAGGACGCGUGAAUGAUGAAGGUCUUAGGAUUGUAAAAUUCUUUCAACGGGGAAGAUAAUGACGGUACCCGGAGAAGAAGCCCCGGCUAACUUCGUG